UGGGAUCAUUGCUUCCGUUCCGUAGGCCAAGUUGAAGGGAGAUUCUCUGGUUGGGACACGGGGCGUCGUUCGGUACGCCCACAGGACAGAGUUCAAUUCUUCGAUCUAUAGGCCUUUGGCUUCAUUCAAUCGGAUCUUUAGCCCAUGUAGAAUAGUCCGGUUGGUCACCUCGACCUCACCGUUGGACUGUGGAUGCCCAACCGAGAUCAGUCGGUGCAUGAUAUGAAACCUCGCACAG
rnacentral:lncRNA from 1 species